UACGAAGGGUGCAAGCGUUAAUCGGAAUUACUGGGCGUAAAGGGUGCGUAGGCGGUUGUUUAAGGCCGUCGUGAAAUCCCCGGGCUCAACCUGGGAAUGGCGAUGGAUACUGGACAGCUAGAGUGUGUCAGAGGAUGGUGGAAUUCCCGGUGUAGCGGUGAAAUGCGUAGAGAUCGGGAGGAACAUCAGUGGCGAAGGCGGCCAUCUGGGACAACACUGACGCUGAAGCACGAAAGCGUGGGGAGCGAUCCGG
rnacentral:rRNA from 1 species